UACGAAAGGGGCUAGCGUUGCUCGGAAUCACUGGGCGUAAAGCGCACGUAGGCGGCUUCUUAAGUCAGGGGUGAAAUCCUGGAGCUCAACUCCAGAACUGCCUUUGAUACUGAGGAGCUUGAGUCCGGGAGAGGUGAGUGGAACUGCGAGUGUAGAGGUGAAAUUCGUAGAUAUUCGCAAGAACACCAGUGGCGAAGGCGGCUCACUGGCCCGGUACUGACGCUGAGGUGCGAAAGCGUGGGGAGCAAACAGG
rnacentral:rRNA from 1 species